GGGGGGGUUUUUUGUUUUGUUUUUUAAAUUGAAGGCUAAAGUUUUUGAAAAAACUUUGUUGGACUCUGGCUGGGACACAAAAUCAGAUAUUUGGAAUCAUUUUGAAGCUUAACUUUUUCCUAACCAGCCUUGUAUUCUAAUUGCUUGCAAAUGUGAGACUGAAUGGCCAAAAUGCCGUUUGUUUGUUUGUUUAUUGUCAGCUGCUUUUAUCAAAUUCCAGGCCAUUAUCCAGCAAACACUAUUAAAAUGUUUGAACAGUUGGGUUUCAAACAUUUUUGUUUUGUGGAGUGGUGCUUAUUAAGUGGUACAGCUCUCUAAGCAAGUGAACACAAACAUAUUUAAGUGUAUUUUGUAUGAUUAGAUGUUACCAAUUCUGAUAUUUUAUUCAAAUGUCUAAAAAAAUAAGUUGACUUAUUCCCUUUACCAAAGGGCCAGAGACAAAUGGUUUCCUUUCAAGAGAAAUGACUGUUUUGAAGAAAAACUCUGUUGGUCUUAGCUCUUUUGUAAUUAAAUCUGGAUGUACCUCAAAAGACUCUUUAAGACUGUGGUGUUAAAAGGCUUUCCUCUGGAGAAGGAGAAAAAAUAAAAUCAACUGGAACUUAAAAGCUUGAAAUUCCAUGACAAAACACAGAUGUCCAGGAUUGGAGGUUCAUAAAGUACAUGCAGUAGUUGGAGUGGAUUCCAUUUUCAGUGUAGCUGCCACCAUGGACUCCAGGCUCCCAGAUUUUCAAGAACUGGACCUGUGACCCAGAAGAGCUUGUCAAGAUAUGACAGGAACUCUGGAGGUGGACGUUUUGUAUUCAAUUUUGGAACUGUUGAUCUUGCCGUGAGAAAAGAGAGACACGACUCACCAAGCACUGCCACCAGCACUGUCACUGGGAACUUGAAGAUCCAAGUUUCUGUCCAGAACCUCAGUGCAAACUGACAACACUCCAUCCAAAGUGAACGUCCCGUGCCUCCUGAUUGCUGAAUGUUCACCUGGACCUGCCAAUGACCUUCCUUCUGCUACUCCAUCAGCCUACAGACCUGGUACUUGGAUUUUUGUCCAUGGUGAUUCCUUCCACCUUACUACUGAAGAAGACACCAUUCCAGUGGACCACUGUGACCCAAGAAGCAUUCAGCCAUCAUGAUGUGGCCUUUACCUCCACUCCUGUCCUACUCUGCCCAGAUUCAGCACAGCCCUUUAUAGUGCAGUCAAGAGUCUUCAAGCCAAAUAACUGAAGCUAUUUUAUCACAACAAAGGCCAGGUUUAUUCCAUAAAUGUACAGUUCAUUUCUGCAGUUUAUUCUUCAGAGACACAUAGUAAAUUUGGACCAGGGGAUUUUGUUUUGUUUAUAUUGUCAACACUGUCUGAAGAAAGGCAUCUCUGAGAACAGCAUUGGACCCUACUCCACAAUCUCAAAUGAUUGAAGUUUCAUAAACUGCCUAGGAUCCUGUCAAGGCCACUGGACUCUUGUUCUUUUCCUACUUCAAAAUCUGUAGCUGUCUACUAAAUGACAAAGCAGAUAUUCUGACCCAUUGGGAUCAAAACCAAGGCAUUUUGAAUUCCUCAUAGUAUCAUCUUCGGGUUACUCAGGAACCAAAACUUUUCACACCAAUUUAAGAAAUUCUACUGAGGAAUCCCUUUACCUAACCAUCUCACAAGGCUUCAACCAGAUUCCUGAAAAGGCCUCUUGAUAUAUCAAGAUAGAACCUACAUGGUAAUCUCCUCUUUUUAUAGCACUUUACAGGUUCAAAGCACUUUCAUAUACAUGUAUGCCGAUGACCAACAUAGUCAACACCACUUUUUGAAAUGAGAGGACAGAAGUUGUUUAAGUACUUAGCAAUUCCUAGGUGACACAGUGGUAGAAGUGAGUCCUUCUGACUCCCAGUCCAGUAUUACCCUUGGCAUUAUCUUAGCCUUCACUUUAUCCACAGUAUUAAAAUCACUGGAGACUGAUGCAUCUGCUUCCAAUUUACAUGGUGCCCUUAUUAGAGCACAGUGCUUGAAGUGCAAUUGUGAUAACUACGCUAGACCAGAAUCCCUUGAUGACCUCCCUAAAGUGUAGGAAUAAGCAGUCUCCGUGGUGGUUGAUGAUUUGGUUUUUAAAAAAAUACACAAUAUGAAACAAAAAAGUUUUUGGAUUUUCUUGUUCAUUUUCAUGGUCUCCCCAAAAAGUAAUUAACUACAGAUUUGCAUUUGUUUCUGUUAAUUGCUUUAAGUUUUGUUAAUGUUCCUGAACACAGAAAGCUUACCUAUAGUCUUCUGUCCCCAAAUUAAUAGGUAGAAUGAGCCAUUUGCUUUUAUAUAUGUAUGUAAUUUAUCGUUUUUGCUAUCCAAUGACGUGAUAAAAUAUGUAGUAUGUGUUUCCGCACAAACAGUGCAGUGUAGUAUAUUAAGGUCUCAAGAUGUGCAGCAAAGCUUCAUUUUCCCAAUGUGUUAUAUACAUCUUUUAGACAUGGAUUGAUGCAGGGUGUUUUUAUUUUGUUUUUCCUACAUUCUUUUUAACAGAACGGUAAACCCAGCUGUGUAACCAGUGAUUCUUAAUUAUUGGCAGAUUGGCCUAGAGACCCCAUAAUAAAUUCCUUGUCUU
rnacentral:lncRNA from 1 species